GUCCGGAAUCAUUGGGCGUAAAGCGCGCGUAGGCGGCCCGGUAAGUCCGCUGUAAAAGUCCAGGGCUCAACCCUGGAAAGCCGGUGGAUACUGUCGGGCUAGAGUCCGGAAGAGGCGAGUGGAAUUCCUGGUGUAGCGGUGGAAUGCGCAGAUAUCAGGAGGAACACCGAUGGCGAAGGCAGCUCGCUGGGACGGUACUGACGCUGAGGCGCGAAAGCGUGGGGAGCGAACAGG
rnacentral:rRNA from 1 species